rnacentral:rRNA from 1 species
UCAUGUUCACCAAGGGCGUAUGGUGGAUGCCUGGGCGCCAGAGCCGAUGAAGGACGCGGCCACCCCGCGAAAGUCCCCGGGGAGCCGGUGGCAGGCUGUUAUCCGGGGGUGUCCGAAUGGGGAAACCCAAGACGGGUCAUGCCGUCUUACGGGAGGUUCGCCUCCCGAGGGAACCGGGCGAACGGAAACAUCCUAGUAACCCGAGGAGAAGAAAGCAACCGCGAUUCCCCUAGUAGCGGCGAGCGAACAGGGAACAGCCCAAACCCGGGUGCUGGUCUCCGUGUGGAGACACAGGCCCGGGGGUAGCGGGGAAAGAGAGGCAGAGCUACGGCUCUGCCGUGGGGUGUCGGCGCCGGUUAGCUGAAGUCCCCUGGGAAGGGGCGCCACAGCGGGUGACAGCCCCGUAAGCGAAAGCCGGGCCGCGCUGUGUUCUCUUCACCCCAAGUAGCACGGGGGACGGGAGCCCCUGUGUGAAUCUGCGAGUACCACCUCGUAAGGCUGAAUACUCCUGGCGACCGAUAGCGCACACAGUACCGUGAGGGAAAGGUGAAAAGCACCCCGGAAGGGGAGUGAAAUAGAACCUGAAACCGUGUGCCUACAAGCAGUCGGAGGGCGUGCAUGCCUG